rnacentral:lncRNA from 1 species
AGCUCCGUCAAAAGGAGAAAGAAAUUAGAUAACAAGUGCAUGCAUGUGUGAGUGCUUGUGGGACUAAAUUCAUGUGAAAUACUGGACCUGAUUGCUGGGCUCAUAAAAAGCAAGGGGAGAAAAUGGGAAGAACCAGACUAAGAAACCUCUUGGGAUGAGUUAAACAUGGGAAAAUUGCUCACUGGUUACUAUCACAGACAGAACAAACUCAAACUUAACUAUCUUAAGGCUGUUUUAUUCCUUUGCUCCAAACUACCAGCUUCCCACACCAAGUGGUGCAGCAGCAGCGUACUGUGUACAAGGAGCUAGGAGGGGAUGUAACCAGGACAGCUGGCCCAAACUGGUCAAAGAGAUAUCCAAUACCGCACGGCAUUGUGUUCAGCAAUAAAAGCUGGGACAAGGAAAGAGGAAGGGAUGAACUGUUGGAGUUGAUGGCAUUUGUCUUCACAGUGCUAUGGACAGUGGGAUUGAGUGCACCCUCAGCAAGUUUGUGAAUGACACCAAGCUGUGUGGUGUUGUCAACAUGCCUGAGGGACAGAAUGCCAUCCAGAGAGAUCCAGACAGGCUUGAGCGGUGGGCCCAAGUAAGCCUCAUGAGAUUCAACAAAUCCGAAUGCAAGGUCUUGCACCUGGAUUGUGGCGACAUCCACUACCGUACAAGGAGCUGGGACCAUCCCUUAAAGCUUAUAGGAAGAUGGAGCUAUUCUUCCUGCUGGGAUUAUUCUCAAGAGGGAGAUGUCCAACAACAAGAACACUGUCAUUGCUCCUGCAUCUUCCUGAACAUGCUGCUGCCAAGCUAGCCCAGGUCCCAGAGCAACACAGGGAGCACUAUUUCUGUAGGAGCAUCUGUCUGAGGAUGUGAAGUGAAUUUGGACAGUAGAGCUCAAAGACAUUGGAAGACAAAGAUGAGCCCUCUAGAACUCAUCACAGCAGGAUUUGAUGAACAAUGUGGUAAAAGCAACUGUAAAAUCUAAGGCUUUUAGUCAAGUAGUUUUUGGUGUUGGUAGACCUGAAGUACUUAGCCUUCAAUCUUCAGGCUGGCCUUGUGCUUGUGAAAUUACUCAAAACAUAAUUUGUCUUAACUUUUAGGAAAAAGACUUGUUCUUACCUAAUCCUUAUUAGAAAAUAUUUAUCAUGAGUGAAAUUGUCAUAGAGAAGAAAAAGCCAAAUGGUAAUUCUUAAUAAAAUGAAUGUAUGAAAACAGUUCAGUCAAUCUUUGCUGUAAGUUGGAGUGUGCUGUAAAGGGAAGGUGGCCUCUGGCAGGAGCUGUCUUUCAUCAGAACUUUAUGCACAUUUGGGAUUUUCAGCAUUUCAUCAGUGGGAAUCCUUAGGAGGCACUGAGCAAGAAGAUACAGGAAGAUCUAUUUUGAUUUCCCUAGGAAAAAUGCUGCUUUUGGAAGCCAAUUACCAAGGCCUCCAAUAUAUGUGGUGCUCUUCAUGACUCCAGACUGCCAGGAGACAGCCUAUAUUUGCAGCUCUGCAGCUAUGGGGAGGAACACUUUCCCAGCAUCUCUCUUGAAUGUAAAGGAGAUGAUCAUAAUUUAAGUUGCAUAAAUGGACAGCUGAAGUUAUUGCUAUUAUUUCAGCUAAUUUCUUCCAGUGACUUGGAAUAAAAACUUCUUCCUCUUAACUGGAAGAAACAUGAAUGGAAAUUAUGCUUAUUCCUUUGUGGUAACGGCUACAGAGGCCCUUCAAGAAGCAGCAGCAGUAGGAAUAAAAGAGAUUUUAUAAUAAAUACCCUGACUGCAAAACAAAUGUUUGCACCAUUCGGCUCUUAACACUAUGAACUCAGAUUUGCUAGAAAUGACUGGCAGUUUCUGUUAAAGACACUGCUUUUACCAGAUACUUUUUUGAGGACUGAUCUAUUACAAGUAAUUCUGUACCAAUGAAUUACCUGUGGUCUUUAUCAGUGAAAAAUACCAAGACUUAGAGUCUACAUAUACUGCACAUGCAUCUGUGUCAUCAACAAACUGUUCUGGAGGUAUGCAUCAAUGUAUAAAAUGUAAGAGUAGAUGUUAUUUGAAUAAAAGGGACCACUCUAUAUGUGGGGACUUGGAGUGAUUUUGUUACUUGGUUUUUUUUUGUUGUUUGUUUGUUUUGGUUUUUUUGUUUGUUUAUUUGCUUUUGACAGUGCAGUUGUUUGACCAGAAAUAGAAAUACCUAGAAGAGAAAUGCCAACUGGGCAUACCUGAGGAAGGGGUGUAACCACAGCCUCAUUAAUAACACACCACACAUUUAAAAGGAUGCAUUGCAGAUGCUCUGCAAACAACGGUGAUAACAUCCAACAAGUCCAGCCUGAUGUCUUCUUAGAAACAAACUGCCACCAGGAAUAUUACAUGUAUAGUAGCCUUCCAAAGAACAAUUGCUACAAAGAUCUGCUGCACAGUCUGAAAUGAAAGUAGAAGAUGGAAUAUCUAAUUCCAAAUGCUUCAUUCCUGUUAAAAACAAAGCUGAGAGGAUACCACUCUGAUUAUAUUAACCUGUUUCUAAAGAGAUGAGAAUUUUCCAGUAUUUUUCAUGCAUCAGACUUCUGCCCACAAAAAGGAGAUAUUUAGCUAUUUCCUGUUAUGCUAUGCUCUGCUGCUUUAGAUAUCUGCAAGCUUCUGAUAAAGAUUCACUCCUAGCAUGGGAACUGCAGAGAUUUGACAGACUUUGGGGACUUAAUUAGAAGAACUCUCCUUUGGCGUUCUUGCCACCAAUGAUUAAAAUCUCAAGCAAAUCUUUAAGACCUAGAGAAAGCUACGGGAUGCAUUGGGAACAUUGGCAGUUGUUGGAAAAUCCAACAGAAAAGGAUGAGCACUGAGAACACACAAGCUAUAUAUUAUACUAUAUAUAAUAUAGAGGGUGAUAUUUCUUAAGAUCUGCAAUAUCCAGACGUACUUUUAUUCAUGACAC